rnacentral:rRNA from 1 species
GAGACAGCAGCAGCCGCGGGAAUACGAAGGGUGCAAGCGUUACUCGGAAUUACUGGGCGUAAAGCGUGCGUAGGUGGUGGUUUAAGUCCGUUGUGAAAGCCCUGGGCUCAACCUGGGAAUUGCAGUGGAUACUGGGUCACUAGAGUGUGGUAGAGGAUAGUGGAAUUUCCGGUGUAGCAGUGAAAUGCGUAGAGAUCGGAAGGAACAUCUGUGGCGAAGGCGACUAUCUGGGCCAACACUGACACUGAGGCACGAAAGCGUGGGGAGCAAACAGGAUUAGAUACCCCUGUAGUCCCUGUCUCUUAUAA